ensembl:lncRNA
UGUAAACCAGUGAAUUCAUAUCAAAAGACAAUGAUUAAAAACACAAAGGCUAUUUGUAUUGCUGACAGGCACACCCUAAAACGUAUAAGAAGAGGUCUCAGAGGUGUAGUUUCUGGGAUGUUUCUGAUAAACUGUAGGUUUCCAUUUGAGGCUGAACAGGUGGUUUGGGAGAUGCGCAGUGUUGCCCAACGUCACACUCGUUGGUGGUAUAAAAUCCCCUGGGUUUGUCCUCCAGUCAUUUAUCUUGAGAAAAGACCAAGGCAGAAAGCUACAUUACGCGCAAUUGUGGCUGUGAAGAAACCGAUAACAAGAUGACUAAAAUUGUGAUGGCUUACAUUGGAUUUCUUCUCCUUGCCAUGCAGUUUUCAUCACAGGUCCAUGCUCAAAACUCUACCACACAGUCCCCUGCCAUGAAUGCUACGACCAAAGCUGGCAGUGCUAGUUCCAAGAUGCCUGAUGUCACCAAGAACAACAUUGCCAAAGGAGCCAGUCCAUCUUUGCAGUCCAGCUCCUUCACGCUCAUCAUACCCAUCAUGGUGGGGGGCUCACUACAGGGGUGCUUCUAGAGGGUCUGUUGAGCAGUGAACAGACACCAGCAAGACUUUAACAUCCCUGGCCUAGAUGGGGUAAACUGUUUCACAAAGAUCACAUUUUUAAAAUAAAUAAUCAGAAAGGCAGUCGUGCGCUCCUAACCGAAGAGAUUUGGUGGAGUUGCCGGAGGAGAACCCAUUUCUACUUCACUGAUGGGAAUUGUUAUUUGCCCUCGCACCUUCCGGACGCUUCAAACCAGUAAGCCUUCACACCUCGCACACUGGCCCCAUGCCCCUCUCCAUGGAGGCAGUCCAUGAUGAGUAUGUACUGUACGGAACUCUGCUCUUUGAACCGUUUGGUCCCGCUGUUCCUGUGUAGACACCAGGGGGUAGUUUAGUAAUUUGAUAAAAUAUCUAAAGAGAGGUUGGUUGAGGCACUUUGAAAAUAAGGUAUAGAAUCUGUGGCACAUGCACAAACAGUGGCAUUUCUGCACCUGCAGUGGGUACUUUAUCAGAGGCUUGAUGUACACUUGUGAUUUAUUUCUAGAAUAUGGAAUUGUGUGAGUUAGCAUAUGUGAUAUUUAAUCGUCUAAAUCAGUGAUGUGAUUUGUUUUUAAGGCCAGGUUCAAUAAACCUUUGAAAUGUAGGUUACUUGUGACAAUUGUCUUGUAAAAUAAAAAUACUUUAACAUAA